rnacentral:rRNA from 1 species
CAGUCGCCGCGGGAAUACGAAGGGUGCAAGCGUUACUCGGAAUUACUGGGCGUAAAGCGUGCGUAGGUGGUGGUUUAAGUCCGUUGUGAAAGCCCUGGGCUCAACCUGGGAAUUGCAGUGGAUACUGGGUCACUAGAGUGUGGUAGAGGAUAGUGGAAUUUCCGGUGUAGCAGUGAAAUGCGUAGAGACCGGAAGGAACAUCUGUGGCGAAGGCGACUAUCUGGGCCAACACUGACACUGAGGCACGAAAGCGUGGGGAGCAAACAGGAUUAGAUACCCCGGUAGUCCCUGUCUCUUAUAC